rnacentral:rRNA from 1 species
UACGGGGGGGGCAAGCGUUGUUCGGAAUUACUGGGCGUAAAGGCUCGUAGGCGGCCAACUAAGUCCGACGUGAAAUCCCCAGGCUUAACCUGGGAACUGCGUCGAUACUGGAUGGCUUGAAUUCGGGAGAGGGAUGCAGAAUUCCAGGUGUAGCGGUGAAAUGCGUAGAUAUCUGGAGGAACACCGGUGGCGAAGGCGGCAUCCUGGACCGGUAUUGACGCUGAGGCGCGAAAGCCAGGGGA